AUUGAACGCUGGCGGCAUGCCUUACACAUGCAAGUCGAACGGUAACAGGUCUUCGGAUGCUGACGAGUGGCGAACGGGUGAGUAAUGCAUCGGAACGUGCCCAGUAGUGGGGGAUAGCCCGGCGAAGGCCGGAUUAAUACCGCAUACGACCUGAGGGUGAAAGGGGGGGAUCGCAAGACCUCUCGCUCUUGGAGCGGCCGAUGUCAGAUUAGCUAGUUGGUGGGGUAAAGGCCUACCAAGGCAGCGAUCUGUAGUUGGUCUGAGAGGACGACCAGCCACACUGGGACUGAGACACGGCCCAGACUCCUACGGGAGGCAGCAGUGGGGAAUUUUGGACAAUGGGCGCAAGCCUGAUCCAGCAAUGCCGCGUGCAGGAAGAAGGCCUUCGGGUUGUAAACUGCUGUUGUCAGGGAAGAAAUCUUCUGGGUUAAUACCUCGGGAGGAUGACGGUACCUGAAGAAUAAGCACCGGCUAACUACGUGCCAGCAGCCGCAGUAAUAC
rnacentral:rRNA from 1 species